GAUUAAUUAAGGCCAGUCUGCUUGAAAACUCACAGUAAAAUUGUUCUAUAUCAAGUCUGCUGUUUAUGGGAAUUAUUGUUGGUCAUAAGGUGUAAAGUAAUUUAUAGAAACUGUUAUUCAAAUAUUGACUUAUCACCCCAUGAAAUGUCAAGAAGGCCAACAAAACCAUGAACAUUUGCAUAGUAUAAAUGAUUAUUAUAUCUGCAUAACCUGCUGCUGACUUAUUUAUUCCAUGCUUUAUUGCAUCUUCAAGAUUAAGACUGUGCUAGAAUAUAUACACACAAGAAUAUGUAAUAGGAUAUACAAAUAAGAUUCUGCAUGAAUAGAUUGGGUCUAAACUUGUAUUAAUUUCGUCAAUUACAAGGAAAGAUGUUUGGCUGACAGAGAUCAGCCUGGUUUUGAGAUCUACAGUAGCCGCUCAUAUAAGCAGCCCUAAAUUAGAAUAUCUAC